AGUCGAGGGGUAUAGUUUUUCGGAACUAGAGACCGGCGCACGGGUGCGUAACGCGUAUGCAAUCUACCUUUCACAGAGGGAUAGCCCAGAGAAAUUUGGAUUAAUACCUCAUAGUAUUAUUGAGUGGCAUCACUUAAUAAUUAAAGUCACAACGGUGAAAGAUGAGCAUGCGUCCCAUUAGCUAGUUGGUAAGGUAACGGCUUACCAAGACUACGAUGGGUAGGGGUCCUGAGAGGGAGAUCCCCCACACUGGUACUGAGACACGGACCAGACUCCUACGGGAGGCAGCAGUGAGGAAUAUUGGUCAAUGGGCGCAAGCCUGAACCAGCCAUGCCGCGUGCAGGAUGACGGUCCUAUGGAUUGUAAACUGCUUUUAUACGAGAAGAAACACUCCUUCGUGAAGGAGCUUGACGGUAUCGUAAGAAUAAGGAUCGGCUAACUCCGUGCCAGCAGCCGCGGUAAUACGGAGGAUCCAAGCGUUAUCCGGAAUCAUUGGGUUUAAAGGGUCCGUAGGCGGUUUGGUAAGUCAGUGGUGAAAGCCCAUCGCUCAACGGUGGAACGGCCAUUGAUACUGCCAGACUUGAAUUACUGGGAAGUAACUAGAAUAUGUAGUGUAGCGGUGAAAUGCUUAGAGAUUACAUGGAAUACCAAUUGCGAAGGCAGGUUACUACCAGUGGAUUGACGCUGAUGGACGAAAGCGUGGGUAGCGAACAGGAUUAGAUACCCUGGUAGUCCACGCCGUAAACGAUGGAUACUAGCUGUUGGGGGCAACCUCAGUGGCUAAGCGAAAGUGAUAAGUAUCCCACCU
rnacentral:rRNA from 1 species